rnacentral:lncRNA from 1 species
UGCCUGAACCUCGGUUCUUUCGGCAACUCGGGCUAAAACAGAUGGUCAUCAGUGCUUGAAGCUGCAAUGAAAGAUGAGGAACACAUAUUUGUCAAGAACUUUCUAUACAUCAGAUUAUUUACUCCUAAGGAAGCAGCUGGAGUUUUGCUGUGGACCCUGAGUGUGCCUGAUGGCUAAGAAAGUCAAGCCUGCAGAAGGAGUUCCCAGAAGUAUUUGAUCAGUUUUUUGUUUCCUGUUCAAAUAAUAAGACUAGAUUAACACACAUUCCCCAGGGUGGUGAGGAUUCUUGACCUGCUGCCUUCGUCUGUCUACUUUAUCCCCAAGCUCUGUUUGUGGGCUCAGGGGCUUGGUCCCAGACCGUGGGAAGCCAUGCUGACCAUCAAUUGUUCAUCAUAGAUUUCCCCUGGAGCCCUCCCUGUCUCUCCAGCUCUUCCCAAGGUCUGCUUCUUCUAGGAUCCGGUCCAGUGUGGGCUACCAAUAUCCUCUGGCAUCCAGAACUCAGCCCCGUGAUGAUGCUCUUCCCAAGAAUGUGACCUGAGCCACAACAUUUUACUGACAUGUCCCCUAGAGUCCUCUCUCUCAUUCCAAGAAGAGCUCUGUGGCUUCCCUCCAGUGCUGGGACUGUCUCUAAGAUGAAGGUGGGCAAACUCAUUCACUCAUUUAACAAGCUUUUAGUGAACGCAUGGUAUGUACUGUUCCUAGGCUCAGCUCUUGAAGAGUCUGUGGUAGAUGGAGCUUCACAUUUCAGGUUUCCAAUGGCUCUGAGAGGCUGAACUAUAGGAAUUUCAGAGGGCCAUCUCCUUUAAACAAGAGCCAUUCUGUAACACACCAUUGAGUUCAUUGACCCAUAUUAAGCCAUACCAUAUACAAUAGAGUCUCUGUUCACUGGUCUUUACUUAGCCUAUGUUGUAGAGUAUAUCUUUGCUCCAGAUAGUCACUACCUCCUUUGGGAGAGGAUUGCAUGACCUCUCCCUUUGAGAUCAAGCUUGUCCAAGAGUUGCAGUGCCCCACCACACACCCCACCACCCCGUCCAGCCCCAGGAGAUUAUAUUGUCCCCUCCCUGAAGAAAGACUCAACCAUGUGACUUGCUCUGGCUAGUACAAGGUGAAGUUAAGGCAUGUGCCAGGUCCACAUGGAAGUGGUAAGGGCCAUUGCAUGGUUCCACAUCCCUUUUCCUGUACCAUGAUACUGGCAUGCCCCAGAUAGGGACAGAUCCUUUCACCUGGAUUCUGAAACAACGAGCGGGAGACAUGGAGCUCCAGCCAAAUGGGAAGGGUGCCUGAUGUGGAGGAGAAGCAAAUCUUUGUUCUUGUAAGCCAAUGAAGCUUUGGAGCUAUAUGUCACUGCAGCAUAAACUGAUGAAAGCCGACAGUGCGACAGAAAUGCAUGUGUUGUGUUUACGAGCAACACUACUUGCAUGGAAGACAGUCACGAAUGCUCACAAGCUGAACAUCAUCAGCUCUGCAGCAGCUCUCUGGGGUGCACACAUUCUUCUGUGUCCCCCAGGGGAGAGAUGUAUGCUUGCCACAAAUCGGACAUAUUUUUUCCCAACCUGUUUAUUCCAGUUGCACAUGUCACUGCAAUUACAUAAUCUAAUUAAAUAGUGUGAAACCAAUGAAGUAUGAGUACAAAAAGAAGGAUAUUUAUUGUUUCUCUUAAAACUAAGUCCAGGCCAGUCGUGGUGGCUCAUGCCUGUAAUCCUACCACUUUGGGAGGUCAAAGCGGGUGGAUCACCUGAGGGCAGGAGUUCAAGACCAGCCUGGUCAACAUGGUGAAACCUGGUCUCUACUGAGAAUAUAAAAUUAGCCAGGCAUGGUGGCACACGCCUGUAAUCCCAGCUACUUUGGCGGCUGAGGCAGGAGAAUCAUUUGAACCUGGUAGGUAGAGGUCGCAGUGAGCCGAGAUCACACCCCUGUACUCCAGCCUGGGCAACAAGAGUGAAACUCCAUUAAAUAAAUAAAUAAAUAAAUAAAUAAAUAAAUAAAUAAAACCCAAACAAACAAACAAAACAAACAAACGUAAGUUGAAUGCUUUGAAAAGACUGCAAACAGGCAAGUCUUUCAGCAUAUUGCUGUUGAAUUAAGUGUAGGUGAGACAACCGUAUCAUAAAACUCCAGAAGUUUUGGAAUUUUGAUUAUUUCUCAAAUGGCUUUAUUUUCACACUUCACUUUAAAGAAAUCAAAAUGGAAAUCCCAAAUGAUUCAUAGGAGCGGU